AAAAUAAAUACAGUUCUAGGGAAGAUAGAUUGAAACGUAAGAAAGUAUUACUUACUUCUGUUACUUUCAGGGAAAAUUUUCAUGUUUACCUCAUGUUUAUCACUAGAGACAUUUUCAAAAAUGCAUUUUUCAUUAAUAGGCAAAAGAUUCUUAUACUUUUGUUCUCUAUAUAUAUAAUAAAUAAAUACAUAAAUAAAUAAAUAAAUAAUUUUUUUAGAAUUAUACAUUUUCAAAUUCGAACUUUUUUUAUAAUUUUUUUAUAAUUUUGUUUUGAAUUAUUUUGAAUUUGUUUUUUGAAAUUUUUUGAAUUGUUUUUUUUUUAAAUUUAUUUUUGAAAAUCAAAAAUUCUUUUUGGAACUAUUUAAAAAAAAUAUUUUUU
rnacentral:lncRNA from 1 species